GACGAACGCUGGCGGCGUGCUUAACACAUGCAAGUCGAACGGAAAGGCCCUGCUUUUGUGGGGUGCUCGAGUGGCGAACGGGUGAGUAACACGUGAGUAACCUGCCCUUGACUUUGGGAUAACUUCAGGAAACUGGGGCUAAUACCGGAUAGGAGCUCCUGCUGCAUGGUGGGGGUUGGAAAGUUUCGGCGGUUGGGGAUGGACUCGCGGCUUAUCAGCUUGUUGGUGGGGUAGUGGCUUACCAAGGCUUUGACGGGUAGCCGGCCUGAGAGGGUGACCAGCCACAUUGGGACUGAGAUACGGCCCAGACGCCUACGGGAGGCAGCAGUGGGAAUAUUGCACAAUGGGCGGAAGCCUGAUGCAGCAACGCCGCGUGCGGGAUGACGGCCUUCGGGUUGUAAACCGCUUUCGCCUGUGACGAAGCGUGAGUGACGGUAAUGGGUAAAGAAGCACCGGCUAACUACGUG
rnacentral:rRNA from 1 species